rnacentral:piRNA from 1 species
UCCUAUAUCGCAGAUCCAAAUUGCCUCCCGU